rnacentral:rRNA from 1 species
CACUCCUGCGGGAGGCAGCAGUGGGGAAUUUUGGACAAUGGGGGCAACCCUGAUCCAGCAAUGCCGCGUGAGUGAAGAAGGCCUUCGGGUUGUAAAGCUCUUUUGUCAGGGAAGAAACGGUGGUGGCGAAUAACUACUACUAAUGACGGUACCUGAAGAAUAAGCACCGGCUAACUACGUGCCAGCAGCCGCGGUAAUACGUAGGGUGCAAGCGUUAAUCGGAAUUACUGGGCGUAAAGCGUGCGCAGGCGGUUGUGUAAGUCAGAUGUGAAAUCCCCGGGCUCAACCUGGGAAUUGCAUUUGAGACUGCACGGCUAGAGUGUGUCAGAGGGGGGUAGAAUUCCACGUGUAGCAGUGAAAUGCGUAGAUAUGUGGAGGAAUACCGAUGGCGAAGGCAGCCCCCUGGGAUAACACUGACGCUCAUGCACGAAAGCGUGGGGAGCAAACAGGAUUAGAAACCCCGGUAGUCCCAUGA